UACGUAGGGCGCGAGCGUUGUCCGGAAUUAUUGGGCGUAAAGAGCUCGUAGGCGGCCUGUUGCGUCCGCUGUGAAAACCCGAGGCUUAACCUCGGGCCUGCAGUCGAUACGGGCAGACUAGAGUUCGGUAGGGGAGACUGGAAUUCCUGGUGUAGCGGUGAAAUGCGCAGAUAUCAGGAGGAACACCGAUGGCGAAGGCAGGUCUCUGGGCAUUAACUGACGCUGAGGAGCGAAAGCAUGGGGAGCGAACAGG
rnacentral:rRNA from 1 species